rnacentral:rRNA from 1 species
AUACGUAGGGGGCGAGCGUUGUCCGGAAUGAUUGGGCGUAAAGGGCGCGUAGGCGGCCCGGUAAGUCUGGAGUGAAAGUCCUGUUUUUAAGAUGGGAAUUGCUUUGGAUACUGUCGGGCUUGAGCGCAGGAGAGGUAAGUGGAAUUCCCAGUGUAGCGGGGAAAUGCGUAGAGAUUGGGAGGAACACCAGUGGCGAAGGCGACUUACUGGACUGUAACUGACGCUGAGGCGCGAAAGUGUGGGGAGCAAACAGGAUUAGAUACCCUGGUAGUCCACACUGUAAACGAUGAAUGCUAGGUGUAGGGGGUAUCGACCCCUUCUGUGCCGCAGUCAACACAAUAAGCAUUCCGCCUGGGGAGUACGGCCGCAAGGUUGAAACUCAAAUGAAUUGACGGGG